rnacentral:rRNA from 1 species
UACGGAGGGGGCUAGCGUUGUUCGGAAUUACUGGGCGUAAAGCGCACGUAGGCGGCUUUGUAAGUUAGAGGUGAAAGCCCGGGGCUCAACUCCGGAAUUGCCUUUAAGACUGCAUCGCUCGAAUUGUGGAGAGGUAAGUGGAAUUCCGAGUGUAGAGGUGAAAUUCGUAGAUAUUCGGAAGAACACCAGUGGCGAAGGCGACUUACUGGACACAUAUUGACGCUGAGGCGCGAAAGCGUGGGAGCAAACAGG